GGGGGAGCUUGGAUUGAAAGGGAGGAAAAGAUGUAUUACAUUUUCUCUUGUUUUGUAGUGAGUUAUUCUCCCCACCUCAGAAGUACCAGCUUUUGGUGUAUCAUGCAGAUUCUCUCUUUCAUGAUAAGGAAUAUCGGAAUGCUGUGAGUAAGUAUACCAUGGCUUUACAGCAGAAGAAAGCGCUAAGUAAAACUUCAAAAGUGAGACCUUCAACUGGAAAUUCUGCAUCUACUCCACAAAGUCAGUGUCUUCCAUCUGAAAUUGAAGUGAAAUACAAAAUGGCUGAAUGUUAUACAAUGCUAAAACAAGAUAAAGAUGCCAUUGCUAUACUUGAUGGGAUCCCUUCAAGACAAAGAACUCCCAAAAUAAACAUGAUGCUGGCAAACCUGUACAAGAAGGCUGGUCAGGAGCGCCCUUCAGUCACCAGCUAUAAGGAGGUGCUGAGGCAGUGCCCAUUAGCCCUUGAUGCCAUUCUAGGCUUGUUGUCCCUUUCUGUAAAAGGGGCAGAGGUGGCAUCCAUGACAAUGAAUGUGAUCCAAACCGUGCCUAACUUGGACUGGCUCUCUGUGUGGAUCAAAGCGUAUGCUUUUGUGCACACUGGUGACAACUCAAGAGCAAUCAAUACCAUCUGUUCACUAGAGAAAAAAUCCUUAUUGCGAGAUAACGUGGACCUAUUGGGAAGCUUGGCAGAUCUGUACUUCAGAGCUGGAGACAAUAAAAACUCUGUCCUCAAGUUUGAACAGGCACAGAUGUUGGAUCCUUAUCUGAUAAA
rnacentral:sRNA from 1 species